rnacentral:tRNA from 1 species
GGCUUGGUGGUUCAGUGGUAGAAUUCCCACCUUCCAUGUAGGAUACCUGGGUUCAAUUCCCGACAAUGCAC